CCCAAACCCCUGUGAACAUACCACUUGUUGCCUCGGCGGAUCAGCCCGCUCCCGGUAAAACGGGACGGCCCGCCAGAGGACCCCUAAACUCUGUUUCUAUAUGUAACUUCUGAGUAAAACCAUAAAUAAAUCAAAACUUUCAACAACGGAUCUCUUGGUUCUGGCAUCGAUGAAGAACGCAGCAAAAUGCGAUAAGUAAUGUGAAUUGCAGAAUUCAGUGAAUCAUCGAAUCUUUGAACGCACAUUGCGCCCGCCAGUAUUCUGGCGGGCAUGCCUGUUCGAGCGUCAUUUCAACCCUCAAGCACAGCUUGGUGUUGGGACUCGCGUUAAUUCGCGUUCCUCAAAUUGAUUGGCGGUCACGUCGAGCUUCCAUAGCGUAGUAGUAAAACCCUCGUUACUGGUAAUCGUCGCGGCCACGCCGUUAAACCCCCAACUUCUGAAUGUUGACCUCGGAUCAGGUAGGAAUACCCGCUGAACUUAAGCAUA
rnacentral:rRNA from 1 species